CUUUCGUAGCAAAAAGCCGCGUUCGGUCCUUUGGUUUGUUGUAAAGCAAAGACUUGUGCCCAGAGCCUCAGGGACUGAGGCGGAAGGUUUUAUGGCCUUCCAAGCUCCUCUCGGGAGGAUGAAGCUGAGUGGCUGCCCCGCGGUGUUAGCUGUAUUCAGGGAGGGGGGUCCCUGCUUUUUGAAAAGCUGCUGUUAGAAACUAUUAGAGCUGAGAGCUCACUGUACCUGAAUGAAAGCAAACAGCAGAGUAAAGCUGUAAGAAAGCAGCUUACUUCUGCCCAGGACCACUGAGGGAGCCAGUGCUGAGCCACUCUGGUUGCCUGAAUGUGCAACUGGCCAGCCCUCAGCAUGCGACCCCAUCUGCCUGCAAUGAGGGCCAAGUUACUUGUACCAAACAGCACCGCUGUUGCCGUGGGCCUGGGGAAAUUCUGGAAGUCCUUUAAUUAUCUCCAAGGCUGCUCCACGUUUCACAGGCCCAGGUCCUGCUCUGGUAGCCUCCAAAUACCAAUGCCAGACUUGUUUGGUCCCACAGGGUGGUCAGCAACUGGCUAAAUUGCAAAUCAGGCCCUGCACACCCAGCAGGCCCAGGACAGGACUGCAGAGAGCACAGGGCCGAGUGAGACCGCAGCUCAUGAGGUCCAUCAGUUCCAAACUCUGGGCAGGAGUCAGGACUCAUCUUCCAGACUGCAAACUCCUCUAUCUCCAUAAAAUGCUUAAACUGUAGUGUGCCUCUCCCUUAACUAACAUGGGCACCACAGAGCAGUGAUUACCCCAAACUGGCUAAUUUUUCAAGCAGGGCAAUUAUUGAUCCCCGGAGAGGCGUGCUUUGCAUCUCAUUUUUAAUCACUUUUUGUGCUGUGUAAAAAGAGGCAAGAAGCGGGGGAUUGCUGCUAGGAGUGAUGCUGGGAAGAGUCUGCUCCCUCUGCCUGACACUCUCAGGAAACUUUUUUCCAUCCUAGUAGAAGUUAAAGCCUGGGAAACAGCACUGUGUUAAUCUCAAUGAAGACAAAUUGACUCCAUACCUCAGCUAUAAAGGGAAAAUGCUAUGUUUCUCUGUCCUCUCAACUGCCUAAAGACUGUAUCAUCUGAUAUCUAUUUGCCCCACAUAGGAUUUGGAAGAGAGGGGCACCACUUUCUGCACCUAAUCCCAAAUAACCCAAACCCUUUGCCACUUGCAGACUAUGCUUGGCUGCUCCAAGGGUCACAAAAAACCUAAAGACUUUUAUUAAAUACUCACCAGGUAAUACACAGAAAUGUCCAGAGCCAACCCGCCAACCCCUCAAAUUGCUUUUUCGGUCCCCUGGAGUGACUUAUGCAACAGCCAUUCCCCUCAGAAAUUACAGAAACCUCUUCUCUGUCCCGAGUGAAACUUGAAAUCCCAGAAGUACAGCAAGUCUCUCCACUACUUGCUCCAUCUUUAGGCUUCUUCCACCAGUUUCGUGAGGAUUUCUGCUCCCUCUGAGGUAAUCACCAGGGUAUGUUCAAAUUGUGCCGAUCUGAAAUUCACAUUUAGCAGUUAUGAGGGGGAAAACACAUUCACCAUGCCUGGAAACUCAUCUAUUUGGGUUUUUUGGGCUGGCAGUGAUGAGUUCUAUGUCUUAGGAAAUACCAAAAAAUAAAAUCAGGCACCUUUUAUUGUCUACAGAAAUCGCAGUCCAUUUGUCCUCCAGAAUCUUAAAUUCAGGGGAUCCUUCCAUUAUUAUUGGCUCUGCAUCAAGAAAAACAAAACGUAUUCUAAAGUUAGUUGCAUUCCUGUGUGGAUUAUGAAACAAUCAAGAACAGGAGGUAUCUCAGCAGGUAGCUCCCCAUCCACACAGGUCCCAUCUCCCUGGGCUGGCAUUCUCUUGAUACACUAAAAUGUGAACUAAAAAGGAAGACAAAAUAGCAAGUUAGGAAGUUGCCCAUUCCUCUUUUGUAAAAGCAUGGAAUUUUAAUCAAGCUUUAAUUAAGACCGUGUGGAUAAUAACCAAAGCACCAACCACAUUUAUAAACAACAGAUAGUUUUAAAUAUUUGAAUUUUUUAAACAGGCUUAAAAUGUUCAUUAAAUCAGCAAAACAACAAUUUUCUUAUUUCCUUCUAAUUGCCGUGCCAUUUAGCCACACAGUGAGAACGAAGGCUUUUCCCCCAGCAGUUCUCCACGACUGGAAGUGAGCACGAUCAGUCUGCGGGGUGAGGCUCCGGCUGGUUACCGCCGCCGCAGUCCCCAAGCCCAACAGCAGCUCGGGAAGGCAGCAAAUGACUAAGUGCCACCAGGCUGCUCGGCUUCGGGGACACGAUCGCAUCCUUCUCACCCUCCUCAAAUUAAGUGUGCUGGCAGAGUCUCUGCCUUGCCAGAAAUAGGAGUCAAAUAUUAGCAAAAUUUAUAAUUAACAUUUCAUUCUUUAAAUCUUGUAAUUUGAAAAUUAUUUAAUCCAACUAGUUCCUAAUGCAUUUUUUAAAAUGAUAUUUUAAUCUAUUUCCUAAGAGGUCAAUCUCACCGACGUCCCCCUGUCUGCAUGGUUAUUUCUAUUUCCCAAUAAAGAAAUGUUACAGA